ACUCAAAGGAAUUGACGGGGGCCCGCACAAGCAGCGGAGCGUGUGGUUUAAUUCGACGCAACGCGCACCACCUCACCUAGGUUUGACAUGUAGCUGCAAGCUGCUGAAAGGCAGCCGCCUUCGAGGGUGCUACACAGGUGCUGCAUGGCUGUCGUCAGCUCGUGUCGUGAGAUGUUGGGUUAAGUCCCGCAACGAGCGCAACCCUUACCGCGUGUUACUUGUGUCACGUGGGACUGCCGGUGUUUUGCACCGGAGGAAGGCGGGGAUGACGUCAAGUCCGCAUGGCCCUUACGCCUAGGGCGACACACACGCUACAAUGGGACGCGAAAUACGUUGCGACCGCGCGAGCGGAAGCCAAUCGAGAAGGCGUCUCGUAGUGCAGAUUGGAGGCUGCAACUCGCCUCCAUGAAGACGGAGUUGCUAGUAACCGCGUAGCAGCGUGGCGCGGUGAAUACGUACCCGGGCCUUGUACACACCGCCCGU
rnacentral:rRNA from 1 species